rnacentral:rRNA from 1 species
UACGUAGGGGGCAAGCGUUGUCCGGAAUUACUGGGCGUAAAGCGCACGUAGGCGGCUUUGUAAGUUAGAGGUGAAAGCCCGGGGCUCAACUCCGGAAUUGCCUUUAAGACUGCAUCGCUUUGAGUUUGUGGAGAGGUAAGUGGAAUUCCGAGUGUAGAGGUGAAAUUCGUAGAUAUUUCGGAAGAACACCAGUGGCGAAGGCGACUUACUGGACACAUACUGACGCUGAGGUGCGAAAAGCGUGGGGGAGCAAACAGG